rnacentral:rRNA from 1 species
CCCUUAGAUGUUCUGGGCCGCACGCGCGCUACAAUGAUGAAUUCAACGAGUUUAUAACCUUGGUUGAAAAGCCUGGGUAAUCUUUUGAACUUUCGUCGUGAUGGGGCUAGACCCUUGCAAUUAUUGGUCUCCAACGAGGAAUUCCUAGUAAACGCAAGUCAUCAGCUUGCAUUGAUUACGUCCCUGCCCUUUGUACACACCGCCCGUCGCACCUACCGAUUGAAUGGUCCGGUGAAAUCUUCGGAUUGAGGCUUUGAUUUCUUCACGGAAAACGCUGUUUUAAGAAGUUGAUUAAACCUUACCAUUUAGAGGAAGGUGAAGUCGUAACA